GGAGAAGGAGGAAAGAGAAUCAGAGAGAAAGAGAGAGAGAGAGGAGAAAGAAAGGGAGAAGGCAAACCUGAUGAAUAAAAUGAAGGAACAGUAUGACAAAGAACUGAGAGAGGAAAAAGAAAAGUUAAAGAACAGACAUGAAAGUGAGGCCAGAGAGGAAGCUGAGGAGAAAAAUAUAUUGUGGCGUGUGUUAGAAGCUGCUGGCGGUACGAUAGUUGGAGCAAUUGGAUUUGUGGGAGAAACAAUUGGGGGAUUGUUCAAAUAGUGAGUUAUUCAGGCAGCAAAACUACAGAGGAUCCUUCUAGAAGCUCCUAGUCAAGAAUAUAUGAAACAAUUAAUUCAUCCACAGAACUAAAAUCACAAUUAACUUUGUUAUUAUGUGAGUGAAUGAUAAUAAAGCUAAUUGUAUUUGUUAAAGUAGAGCUAUAUACUGUAGGUUAGUAAGGCCUGUUUACUCCAUGGUCCACUCAUCAAAUCAUACUCUCACACUGCCACCUAGUGUUGCUUUUGCAUUAUUUUGAUAAAGCCCAAGGAGAUAUCCCAUAAUGUAAGUUAACAUUUUACUAUACAGAACAUAUAAACAAUUUUCUUUUUUUCAGUUUUUUGUCAGAUUUACAUGAAUGUAUUGUAGUACAUCAUUACGUUAUUUGAUUUUGUCAUAAAGGCUUUAUUUCAUGGAUUAUGUUGAUGCCACUCAAGAACAAGUUAUCUAUGUGCUCAUGUGCUACACUGAACAAGAAAUAAAGAUGUGAUAUUAUACUUUUAUGUUCUCCAAUAACAUUCUCAUUGACUUCAAGAACAUAUUGCAUGAAUCAAGUAAUUCUCUUUCUAUUUCCACAAAAUGUAAGCAGAGGUUUCUAUUCAUUCAGUACUUUAAUGUUUAAUGUGGUUCAUGCAUGUUAUAAAGUACUCUGAAUUACCUUUGUGUAUAAUAUGUGCUAUUCAAAUAAACUUGCUUUGCCAUCUCU